ensembl:misc_RNA 7SK 7SK RNA
GGAUGUGAGGGCGAUCUGACUGCGACAUCUGUCACCCCAUUGAUCGCCAGGGUUGAUUCGGCUGAUCUGGCUGGCUAGGCGGGUGUCCCCCUCCUCCCUCACUGAUCCAUGUGCGUCCCUCCCGAAGCUGCGCGCUCGGUCGAAGAGGACUACCUUCCCCCUGAGGAGAGGACCGGUCUUCAGUCAAGGGUAUACGAGUAGCUGCGCUCCCCUGCUAGAACCUCCAAACAAGCUCUCAAAACCCUAGAGACUCCAUCAAAAAGCUAGUAGACUUAGUACAUUAGUAGACUUAAUACAUGAAUUUGGCAAUGUAG